rnacentral:rRNA from 1 species
UACGUAGGUGGCAAGCGUUGUCCGGAAUUAUUGGGCGUAAAGCGCGCGCAGGCGGCCUCUCAAGUCUGAUGUGAAAGCCCCCGGCUCAACCGGGGAGGGCCAUUGGAAACUGGGAGGCUUGAGUAUAGGAGAGAAGAGUGGAAUUCCACGUGUAGCGGUGAAAUGCGUAGAGAUGUGGAGGAACACCAGUGGCGAAGGCGACUCUUUGGCCUAUAACUGACGCUGAGGCGCGAAAGCGUGGGGAGCAAACAGG